rnacentral:tRNA from 1 species
CCUUAAGAAGCUAAUUUGGGUAAGCGUUAGACUCUUAAUCUAAAGUUUGGUAACUACCACCUACCCUUAAGGA